UAAAACUGAGAGAGAAAGAAGGAGGCGCUGCUAAGGUGACCUGAAAUUCAGAGACAACAAGGGAGACCGGAAAGAUGAUGCUGCUGGUUCGAAGGAUGAAAUUGGUUUGCAUCUGUUUCUAUCAGAAAGAAAUGAUGAAGAACAAGUGCUGCUCUGGCCAUGGUUGAAUCUGUGGUUGAGUAUAAACCAGGUUUGAUUAAGGAAGAAGCGGAGCUCGAUUUCAAGAAUAAGAAGAUGGGUUUUAAGGGAUUCAAGUCUACAACAGAUGUGUUUUAUGUUGACCAAAUGGAACUCAGUAUUGCUGAAAUGGGUUUGCUGGAUUGAAGUUGCAGCUGUUGCGGUGGUGAAGCUGAGUUUAGAUGAAUGUUUAGGUUCAGGUGACCUGAGAUGAUAUUGCAGCUGUGAAGUGCAGGUGAAGUACAAGGAUGGAGAUGAAGAAUCAGUAAACAGAGAAAUUGAAGUCUGCAAGGAGUUGAUAUUCAUGGGUUCUGGAACCGGGUUUGAGCACAAUGUGGAGUUGUUGGUGAUACUGCAGUUCAGAGGCCGUUUACAGGGAUGUGUUGGUGGUGCUGCCAUGAAGAAGAUGAGUCUGAGCAGCUGUUGUUGGUCUGAGGAGUUUGAGUACAAUUACAGAAAAAUGAAGGCACUGGUGGUGAUUAAAUGUGGUUUUCUUGUGAAUUGAGCAUGUUGCAGCUGCAAGAUAACGGGUCUAUGAUGAGCUGAACUACAAACUGAAUUGCAGUUGCAGUGUGGUCAUGAACAGAAGUGGGUUUGAGAUGAAUUAGCUUUUGGCAGAGAUAAGCUUGUUGCAGAAGGAAUUUGGUGAUUUAAAUGGGGGUGUAGUCUGAUUGAACAGCUGAUGGUCAGUUCUGUGUUGGUCUAAAAUUGUGUGGCCGUGUUUACAAGGUUCAUGGAGAAGUUGGUAAAUUUGCUGGUGCUGGUAUUGAAUGAAGUUGAUGUUGCAGGUUAUAGUGCAGCGCAGUUUGAAUAGUGGGAUUGCUGGUAUAGAGUUGUUGGUGUUUUGAAGCUACAGCAGCUGAGAAGUUAGACGAAGGCAGGAAAAUGGUUGCUGUGAAGUGUGUAACUGAAGAGUGUGUGAUAGCAGGCUGAGAUGGCUAGAAUGAAUUGCAAGGAGGAACUGAAGCUGUUAUAAAGUUAGAUGUAUGUGUAGGAUGGUUGGGUUGCAUAUGAAUUUGAGAUUGCAGGUGGCCUGAAGAGAUAGAUUGAUGGAGAUUUCGAGCUUAGUCUUGAGACAAGCAACUGCUGCAGAAUUUCAGAGAUGGGUUGGCUGCAGCUGGAGUUGAAGUUGUAGGUGCAAGUGCAGUUGCAGUGUGGAGAUGAACUGGUAGAGUGGAGUGGAUGGCUAUGCAGUGAUUGAAAUGAAGAUGCAGUGGGUGUAUGUGCAUCACUGCUGCUACUACGCAAGCAUGGUGCAAACCUAGCUAAGGCACCUGAGAUACUAUUCCCGUUCACAUGAGCUUCUUCCCGGCGACUUCUACAGCCAAUUUCCGGCAUGGAACCAGUUUCCGGUGGCUAUUUUUGGGGUCAGAGUUUUCUAUUGGGCUACUUUCACACAUGAAUUAUAUGGGCUUGGUGGAUAUAUUGGACUUGGACUUUUGAAGACUAUACCUAAUUUUGGAACAAAAAGAGCUAUAAAAGAUGUGUCUUUCUACAACUCGAGGGAUCACGUAUUCUACUUGGAGCUUUUUGGAGAUAGCGGCAAUUAGGGUUUGCUUUCGUAUUUAUUUUCCAUCUUGUUUAUUUCAAUUGUAAUUGAUGAUGAACUCCAAUACUAUGAGUAACUAAAACUAUUUUUGAUUGAGGGUGAUUUCAAAGCCCGAAAUAUGAACUCAUAAUUGAUAUGCAAUAGCUCGUUUUCUCGCAA